rnacentral:rRNA from 1 species
GACGUAGGGCGCGAGCGUUGUCCGGAUUUAUUGGGCGUAAAGAGCUCGUAGGCGGCUUGUCGCGUCGACCGUGAAACCUGGGGCUCAACCCAGGCCUGCGGUCGAUACGGGCAGGCUAGAGUUCGGUAGGGGAGACUGGAAUUCCUGGUGUAGCGGUGAAAUGACGCAGAUAUCAGGAGGAAUACCGGUGGUGUAGACGGCUCUCUGGACCGCCACUGACGCUGAGACACGAAAGCGUGGGUAGCAAACAGG